rnacentral:rRNA from 1 species
UACGUAGGGUGCAAGCGUUGUCCGGAAUUAUUGGGCGUAAAGAGCUCGUAGGCGGUUUGUCGCGUCGAAUGUGAAAACCCGGGGCUCAACCCCGGGCCUGCAUUCGAUACGGGCAGACUAGAGUUCGGUAGGGGAGUCUGGAAUUCCUGGUGUAGCGGUGAAAUGCGCAGAUAUCAGGAGGAACGCCGGUGGCGAAGGCGGGGCUCUGGGCCGAUACUGACGCUGAGGAGCGAAAGCGUGGGGAGCAAACAGG